CGAAUUCCAAGCUUAGAGUUUGAUCAUGGCUCAGGAUGAACGCUAGCGGGAGGCCUAACACAUGCAAGCCGAGCGGUAUAAUUCUUUCGGGAAUUAGAGAGCGGCGUACGGGUGCGGAACACGUGUGCAACCUGCCUUUAUCAGGGGGAUAGCCUUUCGAAAGGAAGAUUAAUACCCCAUAAUAUAAUGAAUGGCAUCAUUUAUUAUUGAAAACUCCGGUGGAUAGAGAUGGGCACGCGCAAGAUUAGAUAGUUGGUGAGGUAACGGCUCACCAAGUCGAUGAUCUUUAGGGGGCCUGAGAGGGUGAUCCCCCACACUGGUACUGAGACACGGACCAGACUCCUACGGGAGGCAGCAGUGAGGAAUAUUGGACAAUGGGUGGGAGCCUGAUCCAGCCAUCCCGCGUGAAGGACGACUGCCCUAUGGGUUGUAAACUUCUUUUGUACAGGGAUAAACCUAUUUACGUGUAAAUAGCUGAAGGUACUGUACGAAUAAGCACCGGCUAACUCCGUGCCAGCAGCCGCGGUAAUACGGAGGGUGCGAGCGUUAUCCGGAUUUAUUGGGUUUAAAGGGUCCGUAGGCGGAUCUGUAAGUCAGUGGUGAAAUCUCACAGCUUAACUGUGAAACUGCCAUUGAUACUGCAGGUCUUGAGUAAAGUAGAAGUGGCUGGAAUAAGUAGUGUAGCGGUGAAAUGCAUAGAUAUUACUUAGAACACCAAUUGCGAAGGCAGGUCACUAUGUUUUAACUGACGCUGAUGGACGAAAGCGUGGGGAGCGAACAGGAUUAGAUACCCUGGUAGUCCACGCCGUAAACGAUGCUAACUCGUUUUUGGGCUUUAUGGUUCAGAGACUAAGCGAAAGUGAUAAGUUAGCCACCUGGGGAGUACGUUCGCAAGAAUGAAACUCAAAGGAAUUGACGGGGGCCCGCACAAGCGGUGGAUUAUGUGGUUUAAUUCGAUGAUACGCGAGGAACCUUACCAAGGCUUAAUGGGAAUUGACAGGUUUAGAAAUAGACUCUCUCGGACAUUUUCAAGUGCUGCAUGGUGUCGUCAGCUCGUGCCGUGAGUGUUAGUAGUCUGCACGAGCGCACCCUGUCACUAGUGCAUCAUAGUGGGACUCUAGUGGACUGCUACGCAGUAGAAGGAAGUGGGGAUGACGUCAAUCAUCACGGCCUUACGCCCUG
rnacentral:rRNA from 1 species